GUAAGGAAUAUUGGUCAAUGGACGGAAGUCUGAACCAGCCAUGCCGCGUGAAGGAUGAAGGUCCUCUGGAUUGUAAACUUCUUUUAUCUGGGGCGAAAACCGGCUUAUCUAAGCCAUUUGACAGUACCAGAAGAAUAAGCACCGGCUAACUCCGUGCCAGCAGCCGCGGUAAUACGGAGGGUGCAAGCGUUAUCCGGAUUCACUGGGUUUAAAGGGUGCGCAGGCGGAUUUGUAAGUCAGAGGUGAAAUCUGUAGGCUUAACCUACAAACUGCCUUUGAUACUAUAGAUCUUGAAUGUCGCUGAGGUCAGCGGAAUAUAACAUGUAGCGGUGAAAUGCAUAGAUAUGUUAUAGAACACCGAUUGCGAAGGCAGCUGACUAAAGGACGAUUGACGCUGAGGCACGAAAGCGUGGGUAGCGAACAGGAUUAGAAACCCUAGUAGUCC
rnacentral:rRNA from 1 species